UCUAUACUUAGGCAGAUAGUUCUUGCUGAAGGCCCUUUGUGUAUAAGGCUUUUAUGGCAUCCAACACAAAAACUGAAAACCAUCUAGGAAGUUCCAACUGUCUAAGGCCUUUUUGACGUCCAGUGACAGGGUCGGUAAUGACACUCCCGAGGAACGUACCACAUCUAACACAUUUAUCAUCCUUCUUAUAUGUUUCAAAAGUUAUCUAGCUGGAACAAAACCCACUUGAGCCACAGGGGCUAACAUAGGAAUUAUCCAUUUUAAUCUGUUUGCACGAAUAGAAGUGAAUAUCUUUGUUACCGCAUUUAAAAGUGAAAUGGGAUGAUAAUUCAAUACUUUUUUGUGGUCUUUAUCUUGUUUCAAUGUAGGAAUGAUUUUGGCCACUGCACCAAUUGAUCUUUAAAAAUCUUGUAACACAUUUUGGUAAUUUCUGUGAUUUACCAAAUUUUAAACUGUCAAUAAUUCUUCUGAUGUCUUCUAGCUUUAACGGUUGGUAGAGUUUGUUUAAUUGUUCUACCGAUAGUUUGUGGAGUUCUCUAC